rnacentral:rRNA from 1 species
UACGUAGGGGGCGAGCGUUGUCCGGAUUUAUUGGGCGUAAAGAGCGUGUAGGCGGCUUGGUAGGUCUGCUGUGAAAACUCGGGGCUCAACCCCGAGACGUCGGUGGAAACCACCUGGCUAGAGUCCGGAAGAGGAGAGUGGAAUUCCUGGUGUAGCGGUGAAAUGCGCAGAUAUCAGGAAGAACACCAACGGCGAAGGCAGCUCGCUGGGACGGUACUGACGCUGAGACGCGAAAGCGUGGGGAGCGAACAGG